UAUUCUCAUUCAUUUUGGUUUGAUGCAGUCGAGCGGAACGACAACAUUGACCCUUCGGGUGAUUUGUUGGGCGUCGAGCGGCGGACGGGUGAGUAAUGCCUGGGAAAUUGCCCUGAUGUGGGGGAUAACCAUUGGAAACGAUGGCUAAUACCGCAUAAUGUCUACGGACCAAAGAGGGGGACCUUCGGGCCUCUCGCUUCAGGAUAUGCCCAGGUGGGAUUAGCUAGUUGGUGAGGUAAUGGCUCACCAAGGCGACGAUCCCUAGCUGGUCUGAGAGGAUGAUCAGCCACACUGGAACUGAGACACGGUCCAGACUCCUACGGGAGGCAGCAGUGGGGAAUAUUGCACAAUGGGCGCAAGCCUGAUGCAGCCAUGCCGCGUGUAUGAAGAAGGCCUUCGGGUUGUAAAGUACUUUCAGUCGUGAGGAAGGCGUUGAAGUUAAUAGCUUCAUCGUUUGACGUUAGCGACAGAAGAAGCACCGGCUAACUCCGUGCCAGCAGCCGCGGUAAUACGGAGGGUGCGAGCGUUAAUCGGAAUUACUGGGCGUAAAGCGCAUGCAGGUGGUUUGUUAAGUCAGAUGUGAAAGCCCGGGGCUCAACCUCGGAACCGCAUUUGAAACUGGCAGGCUAGAGUACUGUAGAGGGGGGUAGAAUUUCAGGUGU
rnacentral:rRNA from 1 species